AGACCACGGGUUUUCACAGCUAACCAGCUUGUGGUUUGUACAGAGCCCUCUGCGCAAUCGAGAAAUGCUGUGCCGAAACCCCAACCAGUCGCUGCGUUUGUGUUCCAUUCUUCUUGCUCCGGCGGCCACCGGGUCGCCGUGCAAACCCGGCUGGGUAUUUGGCCCGCAGCAUAUCAAUGAUUUGUGACCAGUGAGCCACCAAACCUGAACAUAUAAGCCUGCCAGAUGCUUUGCUUUCCUCCAUUGCCAACAUAUGUGCAGCAACAACAUCCUCUAUGUGCACAAACCCAAUGGUUUGGUUUGGGUAUUCGCCUCGCAAACCUAAUACAGCAAUUGUGUCUGAUUAGCAUAGUCACUUAGUACCACAAGAACCUGGCUUUUAUCAAGUAUCAAUUCACCAUCAGGUGUUGGCACACAGCAUGCUUGACAUUCAAAAUGCCUAAAGAAGGCGACUUUUGUACAUCUAUGCAAUUUUGUGUAAUCAUAUUGGAGGGUUGAAAAAUAUGACCUUUAGUUAUGGCCAAUAUCAAGAGCGGUGUACUGGUCAGUCGCGGUGCAAGCAGCGGUCCUACAACUAAAGAGGGGUUAACCACCACAAGGCAGAUAUGAUCUCUUGAUGAUGCAUAUUUCUAGAAAAUCUAUGAGUUUGCAGGAAGUGCCCUUACAUUGUGGCGUUGGCAGUACUCUAGAUCACUCCAAUGUGACUCGUUAAGUGGAGAAACUUGCUGGACAUCAUCGCGAUAUCUUAUUGCAGAGCAUGAAGAGCAUUCAAAAACAGCAAUUACCUGAAAAGAAAAGAAGCAGCUGUUUGGCAAAGGGGAAAAUUUUCAAGCAUUGGGCAAUUUAAUAGUUAGCCUAUGCAUCAUAUAAGCUUAAUAUUCAUUUUCCAAGAAUUUAGAUUCUAUAAUCAGCUUUGCCUGAACAUUGUUGUCGUGUGGCACAAGCACAGGUGAUGCAGUAUGGAAGAUCCCAUCUACACCGUCUAUGGCCUCAUCAAAACUUCCUUCAACCAUCAGAUCAGCUUUCAAAAUUUUCAGUCUCUCCUUUGCUCCACUCAGCUCCCAAAGGAAGCCAACCUUUUCAACAUCCCCUAGUGGUUAAGAGGGGAAAAGAAGGUAUUCAAGGGUGAGAAUAUAAAUUUACACAGAGACACACGUAUGCGAUGUAUGUUAUUUAUUAUUAAAUUAAUUAAUUAUAUAGAAGUUCAAAAUUUUUUUUUAUUAUAUAUAACGUAAGUAAAUUGUUCUCCUAUGUAACUUAGUUGCAUCAUAAAUUGUUGUCAGGUUUUUGGCAAGUAUGGUCAAUUGAUAGUAGAUUCUUUCGAAUAAAUUUUAGAAUUUGAAUCAUG